AUGCUCAUCGACAGCAUAUAACCUAAAACUGAAAUGAUACAGAGAUUAGCAUAGCUCCUGUCCAAGGAUAUCUCUCCUUUCUUUCUUUCU
ensembl:snRNA U6 U6 spliceosomal RNA